GCGAGUAUAGUCUAGCCUGGUAGGACGCUGCCUUGCCAAGGCAGUGACCCGGGUUCAAAUCCCGGUGCUCGCA
rnacentral:tRNA from 1 species